rnacentral:rRNA from 1 species
GAUGAACGCUGGCGGCGUGCCUAAUACAUGCAAGUCGAGCGAACAGACGAGGAGCUUGCUCCUCUGACGUUAGCGGCGGACGGGUGAGUAACACGUGGAUAACCUACCUAUAAGACUGGGAUAACUUCGGGAAACCGGAGCUAAUACCGGAUAAUAUAUUGAACCGCAUGGUUCAAUAGAGAAAGACGGUUUUGCUGUCACUUAUAGAUGGAUCCGCGCCGCAUUAGCUAGUUGGUAAGGUAACGGCUUACCAAGGCGACGAUGCGUAGCCGACCUGAGAGGGUGAUCGGCCACACUGGAACUGAGACACGGUCCAGACUCCUACGGGAGGCAGCAGUAGGGAAUCUUCCGCAAUGGGCGAAAGCCUGACGGAGCAACGCCGCGUGAGUGAUGAAGGUCUUCGGAUCGUAAAACUCUGUUAUUAGGGAAGAACAAAUGUGUAAGUAACUAUGCACGUCUUGACGGUACCUAAUCAGAAAGCCACGGCUAACUACGUG